GACGAACGCUGGCGGCGUGCUUAACACAUGCAAGUCGAACGGAAAGGCCCUGCUUUUGUGGGGUGCUCGAGUGGCGAACGGGUGAGUAACACGUGAGUAACCUGCCCUUGACUUUGGGAUAACUUCAGGAAACUGGGGCUAAUACCGGAUAGGAGCUCCUGCUGCAUGGUGGGGGUUGGAACGUUUCGGCGGUUGGGGAUGGACUCGCGGCUUAUCAGCUUGUUGGUGGGGUAGUGGCUUACCAAGGCUUUGACGGGUAGCCGGCCUGGGAGGGUGACCGGGCACAUUGGGCCUGAGAUACGGCCCAGACGCCUACGGGAGGCAGGGGUGGGGAACAGUGCACAAUGGGCGGAAGGCGGAUGGAGAAACGCCGGGUGCGGGAUGACGGCCUUCGGGUGGUAAACCGCUUUAGCCUGUGACGAAGCGUGAGUGACGGUACUGGGUAAAGAAGCACCGGCUAACUACGU
rnacentral:rRNA from 1 species